AGUGAACGCUGGCGGUAGGCCUAACACAUGCAAGUCGAACGGCAGCACAGGAGAGCUUGCUCUCUGGGUGGCGAGUGGCGGACGGGUGAGGAAUACAUCGGAAUCUACUCUGUCGUGAGGGAUAACGUAGGGAAACUUACGCUAAUACCGCAUACGACCUACGGGUGAAAGCAGGGGACCUUCGGGCCUUGCGCGAUUGAAUGAGCCGAUGUCGGAUUAGCUAGUUGGCGGGGUAAAGGCCCACCAAGCUGAGGAUCCGUAGCUGGUCUGAGAGGCAGAUCGGCCACGCUGUGACUGGGACACGGUCCAGCCUCCUACGGGAGGCAGCAGUGGGGAAUAUUGGACAAUGGGCGCAAGCCUGAUCCGGCAAUACCGAGUGGGUGAAAAAGGCCUUCGGGUUGUAAAGCCCUUUUGUUGGAAAAGAAAUCCAGCUCGCUAAUACCCGGUUGGGAUGACGGUACCCAAAGAAUAAGCGCCGGCUAACUUCGUGCCAGCAGCCGCAGUAA
rnacentral:rRNA from 1 species